UUUUAUUUCUAUGUGGUGCUGAGGAUUGAACCCAGUGCCCCACACAUGCCAGGCGAGCUUUCUAAGCCAAAACCUCAGCCCUUUGAUCUGUACUGAUUUGGUUUUGACCUUCGAAGGUAAUGGCAAGGUUUGGAGUGGAGCAGAAAUUCUGUUCCAGGCUCCUCAUAGGAGAAGGUACAAAGCCAUGACAUGCCAUACAUAUAAUAGCCUUUUCUGAUUCAGACAUCUUCUUUUCCAUUUCUUUGUCAAGGUCUAAAGAAAGUAAAAUUAAAAGUCUGUUUAACACAAAAUUAGGGCUUCCUAGAGAUAAGAAGACCACAGGUUUUUUUUAAAAAAAACAAUAUUAUCAAGUACAAUUGCCAAUAAACUGCACAUAUCUUUUAAAAAUAAUAUUUUUUUGUUUUUGUUUGUUUUGUUUACAAUAUUGGAGAUUGAAUGGAGGGGCCUCUACCACUGAGCUACAUCCCCAAC
rnacentral:lncRNA from 1 species